GUAGGUGGCAAGCGUUGUCCGGAAUUAUUGGGCGUAAAGCGCGCGCAGGUGGGGUUCCUUAAGUCUGAUGUGAAAAGCCCCCGGGCUCAACCGGGGAGGGUCAUUGGAAACUGGGGAACUUGAGUGCAGGAGAGGAAAGUGGAAUUCCACGUGUAGCGGUGAAAUGCGUAGAUAUGUGGAGGAACACCAGUGGCGAAGGCGACUUUCUGGCCUGUAACUGACACUGAGGCGCGAAAGCGUGGGGAGCAAACAGGAUUAGAUACCCUGGUAGUCCACGCCGUAAACGAUGAGUGCUAAGUGUUGGGGGGUUUCCGCCCCUCAGUGCUGCAGCUAACGCAUUAAGCACUCCGCCUGGGGAGUACGGUCGCAAGACUG
rnacentral:rRNA from 1 species